rnacentral:rRNA from 1 species
GACGAACGCUGGCGGCGUGCUUAACACAUGCAAGUCGAACGGAAAGGCCCUGCUUUUGUGGGGUGCUCGAGUGGCGAACGGGUGAGUAACACGUGAGUAACCUGCCCUUGACUUUGGGAUAACUUCAGGAAACUGGGGCUAAUACCGGAUAGGAGCUCCUGCUGCAUGGUGGGGGUUGGAAAGUUUCGGCGGUUGGGGAUGGACUCGCGGCUUAUCAGCUUGUUGGUGGGGUAGGGGCUUACCAAGGCUUUGACGGGUAGCCGGCCUGAGAGGGUGGCCGGCCACAUUGGGACUGAGAUACGGCCCAGACUCCUACGGGAGGCAGCAGUGGGGAAUAUUGCACAAUGGGCGGAAGCCUGAUGCAGCAACGCCGCGUGCGGGAUGACGGCCUUCGGGUUGUAAACCGCUUUCGCCUGUGACGAAGCGUGAGUGACGGUAAUGGGUAAAGAAGCACCGGCUAACUACGUG